rnacentral:sRNA from 1 species
UAACAUAUUCUAUGAGCCUAUCGUUGCC